AACUUUUAGUAGCCUCUCCGGGCAAGAAGCCAAGCCCUGUACUGGCCAUCAGGCAUGCCUGCAAUACCUGUCAAUUUGGGCGAAUUCCUCAUCCCGAGACUCCACCUA